CUGUAAAUCGACCUCAAACAAAUUGCAACAGAAAAUAUUUUACCUGGUAUAGAAAGUAUAUGGAAUAACAUGAAUCAUAUCAAAAGUCUAGCAAAAUCUAAGUUGCGCAACAUAGAAAAAAACGGGUUUUUAUCGCGUUAUUUUUUGUGAUUUUUUUCUGACGAUAACGGUCUUCCAUAGGCGAACAAAGCGUCUCCGAUACUCAGAAUAGCGACUGCAUAAUGGCGACAACAACAACAAAAUAAGUGUAAACAAAAUAAAUGUCAGUAAAGUACACUGUAAAGUGGGUUAGUAUAUUUUCCUUAAAAGAUUACAGAUCAUAAUAGGAAUUAUUAAUGUGGGGUCGUAGGUUUAUUAUGAGUAUUUGUUGAAAAUUAUUACUUGUUUUACCAGUUCUUUAUCCAUUGAAGGUCAACAGGUGUUUCAAGCGAUCUGUAUUAUACUUUUCAUGGAAAACAGUUUAAUUUAUAUAAAUCACAACUCUGAUCAACUCCUGUCUUAGUAAACAUUCAAAAACGCCCUAAAAUGUGUAUUUAUAACAAGUUAAUUUCGACAGUAUUUUUAAACUAUGGAACGCCAACGUCACUUUAUUUAUGACGAAUUACGUUAAAUAAGUUUUGAAUACUUUAAUCAUGUUUUAUUGUUAAAUGUGUAUUCAAGGUGUUUUUUUGUAUUUUUUAAUAGUUUUUUUUUUAAAUUGUUUUACAUAUAUAAUGUAUGUAAUGUUAUUAUUAUUUCAGGGGUACCGCUUUGAGGAAGUCUUCUUUGAUGUAUGCUUGAUUUUGAAAAUAAAAAAAAUCCAGUAAACUAUAUGUACACUAAAUGAGUAAGUUUGCUUUCCUGUGCUUACAUUUGUAAUAUUUUUACAUAUAUAACACAAAUAUCAAACAUUAUCUUUUACUAGUUUAAGUGAAUAUUAAACAUGGAGGAAAUAGAGCGUCGUAUGCAUAAUUCAAUAUAUCUGAAAUUAUUUUCAGUUUUUAAUAGACAUAGAAGAAAUUUAUACAUGAAAAGGUGACAUGAAAAAUUUAUCAAUAAACAAACGUGAUUUCUAGUUAUGGUUCAUGAUUGGCGAUGUGUAUGAGUUCAAGAUUUCAUCAACACACCAGAGCCAAUGGGUAUGCCCGAUCAUGUGUUCUGAGGACACUGUGAUGUAUACGAGUUAAAGAUGAACUCCUGUCGGAUUUGUUAACGGCUGUUUGAUGAUCAUACAAAGACAGUUAAAGGCAACGAAAAAGAAUGCAAGGGAAUAAAUGCUGCCAGUGAGAAAUAAAAUGACAGUUUAAAAGUUGAAUCAGAAUAAUAUAUUCACAUUGAGUGUAGAAAGAUGUACUGUAACCCACAUUACACUAAAAGAGACACUAAGACAGAAAAAUAGAACACUGAUACCACCAUUGUGAUCAAUGACUGAUAAGUUUUCAUACAAAACAGAUUGUUUAUAUUGUGGUCAAUCUUUAAUAAGUAAGGGUAAAACAAGGAAGUGUGAUGUUUUUAGCCAGUAAGGACACUAGAACCUACUAUUUUGAAUAUUAUUAUACAUGUAUGCAGAGGAAUGACUG